GAAAGAAAGAAAGAAAGAAAGAAACCAGUUAACUGCCAAGUUCCUUUCAACAGCUGAUCUCAGAUUUCAGUGAUGAUGAGCAAUGAUCAGAUUCAACUACUCAGCUGAUGCCUGUUUGACCCUUCUGAGGAGCCAAUCCUGCAAGAUGCCCUGACUCAUCUCAGCAGAAAUUGAAGCACUUUGCAGCAUUAGAGUUUCCUGAAUACCCUCAGAAUGAGAGGAACUGGAGGGAAAGCGCAGAGCAGAUGAUAGGACCAGGGAGGAUGAAAGCUCCCUUGGGAUGCAAAGGCUUGCAGCAAAGAGGAGUGCCUCAUCGAGAUGGCUGUAGCCAUGGAGCAUCAAGCCAUGUCAGCAGCGUCAAUGGCCACUUGAAGCAAGGUUUGGGCAGUGAGGUGUCCUUCAGAAACUAUGGCCAAGUACUGUUCUCUGUAUUCCUCAGGCAAUUUGUCCGUAAAUUUGGA